GCAUAUCAAUAAGCGGAGGAAAAGAAACCAAACAGGGAUUGCCCCAGUAACGGCGAGUGAAGCGGCAACAGCUCAAAUUUGAAAUCUGGCCCCAGGCCCGAGUUGUAAUUUGCAGAGGAUGCUUUUGGCGCGGUGCCUUCCGAGUUCCCUGGAACGGGACGCCAUAGAGGGUGAGAGCCCCGUACGGUUGGACACCAAGCCUUUGUAAAGCUCCUUCGACGAGUCGAGUAGUUUGGGAAUGCUGCUCUAAAUGGGAGGUACAUUUCUUCUAAAGCUAAAUAUUGGCCAGAGACCGAUAGCGCACAAGUAGAGUGAUCGAAAGAUGAAAAGCACUUUGAAAAGAGGGUUAAACAGCACGUGAAAUUGUUAAAAGGGAAGCGCUUGUGACCAGACUUGCGUCCGGUGAAUCACCCAGCUCUCGCGGCUGGGGCACUUCGCCGGCACAGGCCAGCAUCAGCUUGCCGUCGGGGACAAAAGCUUCAGGAACGUGGCUCCUCUCGGGGAGUGUUAUAGCCUGUUGCACAAUACCCUUCGGCGGGCUGAGGUACGCGCUCCGCAAGGAUGCUGGCGUAAUGGUCAUCAGCGACCCGUCUUGAAACACGGACCAAGGAGUCAACCUUAUGUGCGAGUGUUUGGGUGUUAAACCCCUACGCGUAAUGAAAGUGAACGCAGGUGAGAGCUUCGGCGCAUCAUCGACCGAUCCUGAUGUUCUCGGAUGGAUUUGAGUAAGAGCAUAUAGGGUUGGACCCGAAAGAAGGUGAACUAUGCGUGUGUAGGGUGAAGCCAGAGGAAACUCUGGUGGAGGCUCGCAGCGGUUUCUGACGUGCAAAUCGAUCGUCAAACAUGCGCAUGGGGGGCGAAAGACUAAUCGAACCUUCUAGUAGCUGGUUUCCGCCGAG
rnacentral:rRNA from 1 species